GUGCUCACUUCGCUGCACAUAUACUAAAAUUUGAACGGUGCAGAGAAGAUUAGCAUGGCCCCUGCACAAGGAUGACACACAAAAUAAUUGAUCUUCUCUUCU